UUUUCUUCAGGCAACCGUCAGUCAUGAUCUACUUUGCAGUGGUAAAACUUGGUUUAUUAGAACCAUCAGAUUGUUUUAUUUUUUUUAUUGAUUCCUUCCAUAAAACAAGGCUCGCCUCAGGGCUCGAUUCACAUAUAGCAGUGGUAGCUCGAAGAAGACAUUUGAACAUUACAUGAUUAUUGGUAAUGAAGUGAAUGUUUCUUGCCGACGUUGAAAUACCGAGGAAAUCUCCAGCACGAAAUCUAUUUGGACGGCCACAUACAAUCUCACGCUAAGAAAAUGCUACGCAACAUUUUACAAAAAUAAUUUUCAAUUUUUAUGUUUCAUUUGUGUUAUUUUUUAUGUUAAAUUAUAAUUAUACCUUUCAAUA